AUUGCUUUUUGGCCUUUUGGCUAAGAUCAAGUGUAGUAAUCUUAUCUGUUUAAUAUCUAUUAUUUUGGGGCUGCGGUGGUGCAAUGGGUUAAACCCUUGCGCUGCUGAAGUGCUGACCUGAAGGUUGGCAGUUCGAAUCCACAGGACGGGAUGAGCUCCUGCUGUUAGGCUUAGCUCCUGCCAA